AGCCGGGGAGAUAGCGGUGCCCUGUACCUGCAAUCCGCUACAGCAGGGGUGAUGGUCUGCCCCGGAGCGUUUUCAGUUGAGCUGCCCUCUUACAGAGGCGUUGAGGCUUGGGUCUUACGCGACAGGAAUCUGUGAACCGUGUCAGGUCGGGAACGGAGCAGCACUAAGCAGAAGCUCUUGUGCGCCGUAAGGGUGCCUGGGCUGAGUCGGCUGGGGAGGUA
rnacentral:SRP_RNA from 1 species